rnacentral:rRNA from 1 species
CACGGGGGGGAGCAAGCGUUGUUCGGAAUCACUGGGCGUAAAGGGCGUGUAGGCGGUCAGGUAAGUGAGACGUGAAAUGCCCCGGCUUACCCGGGGACCUGCGUCUCAUACUGCUUGGCUUGAGUACGGGAGAGGGUGUGGGAAUUCCUGGUGUAGCGGUGAAAUGCGCAGAUAUCAGGAAGAACACCCGUGGCGAAGGCGGCUCUCUGGGACGGUACCGACGCUGAGACGCGAAAGCGUGGGGAGCAAACAGG